UUUGUUUUUUUUUCCUCUACACUAUUGAAACUGUGCCCCAAAGAGUUAAAGAAACCAGUAACUAACAGAAAUUCUUGAGUUUUCAUAAUGGCAGAUAAGAAACAACUUGCUGAAACACUGAGACUCCCUCUGCUUAAAAGAAAUGAACUGGCUGAAAUCGGUUGUAACCUAGAUAGAUAAAUGGAGUUUGCACAGAAUGAGCUUGCUGAGAUCGCAGCCUGAGUUUCCACCACAGGUUUCAUACUAACUCCCCCGAAUUCGCACAAAGACCCUUGCGGAGGCAUGAAGAGGCCCUCGAUUGAUUAAAUGGUGCCCAGCCACGCUGGAUGAGGCCUGAUCUUCCUUACUCAACCUACGGAUUCCAAUGUCAAUCUGUUCUGGACUACCCUCACAGAUAUAUCCAAAAUUAAUGCUUUACCAGGUACCUGAGUAUCCUUAACCCAGUCAAAUUGACCCAUAAAGUUAACCAUCACACAGUGUUUCUCCAAUGUGUAUUAUCACAUGAGUGGUAAAAUAUGAAGAAUAAAUGAAGGAUUUUUCAUAUUGUUUACAAUUAUA